AUUGAACGCUGGCGGCAGGCCUAACACAUGCAAGUCGAGCGGAUGAAGGGAGCUUGCUCCUGGAUUCAGCGGCGGACGGGUGAGUAAUGCCUAGGAAUCUGCCUGGUAGUGGGGGAUAACGUCCGGAAACGGGCGCUAAUACCGCAUACGUCCUGAGGGAGAAAGUGGGGGAUCUUCGGACCUCACGCUAUCAGAUGAGCCUAGGUCGGAUUAGCUAGUUGGUGGGGUAAAGGCCUACCAAGGCGACGAUCCGUAACUGGUCUGAGAGGAUGAUCAGUCACACUGGAACUGAGACACGGUCCAGACUCCUACGGGAGGCAGCAGUGGGGAAUAGUGGACAAUGGGCGAAAGCCUGAUCCAGCCAUGCCGCGUGUGUGAAGAAGGUCUUCGGAUUGUAAAGCACUUUAAGGUGGGAGGAAGGGCAGUAAGUUAAUACCUUGCUGUUUUGACGUUACCAACAGAAGAAGCACCGGCUAACUUCGUG
rnacentral:rRNA from 1 species